CCUAAAAUACUGAAGCAAGCAGUAAACCCCUGUUUCUCUCUCUCUCUCUCUCUGUCUCUCUCUCUCUACCCUCUCUGUCCGUGGCCGCACCCCUCCUCCAAGGACACCCUAUCCGUUCAUCUGCCUGUCCAUCUGUUCGCUUCCGUUUGAUCCUCGAUUCUCUGAACCCUAAAAUACGAUGCAUCUUUCCCAAUCCUAGCCUUCAGAUCUCGAUCGCCGGCAUCUGGAUUAGAGCAUGUGAGUAGAGAUGGGGUCUCGAAAACCAGCGGCAUCUCUGUGGUUAUGAAUGGUCUAUUUUGAGAAUUUUACGACAAAUGGGUUGUUUACUCUUAUGUGGGAUGAGUGUUGUGAUGGACUUACUCAGAACGUUAAAAGGUUUCAAAUUCCGUCCAUCUUGACCCGGUACUAUUUGACAUAAAGCGAGACCUUCUCACCCCAACCUACAAGAAGAAGCGGGAACAAUUGCUCAAAUAUUACCAGACUAAAGAAGAAAAAACAUCACAACAGAAACAUAAUUUUGAGGAGCGACUCUUGGAAGUUGCACAUUUACGCUCAUAGGUGCAAAGAAAGUAGAUUUUUCUCAAGAAAAUCAAGCAAUCAAGGGGCGAAAGCGUGAAGUUGAGAGAUCCAGACAGGAACUUGGUACAUAUAUGAACCUUUGGUGUUUGGAGAAUCUGUUCUAAAUGAUGCAUGAAGAGGAAAAUGAGAAGGCUACCUGUGGGGGCCAGUAGUUAACAUACACCCAGCAGUUUUCUCCUGAGUUGGAGCAGGUGGAAGAUGGUGGAUGUUGGCAACAGGAAAGCCUUCCUAAUAACUAAUAUAAGGAUGAGUUGAUGAAUGAGGAUGUUUGUUUAUCUCCCUCUGGCACAUAUCUUUGAUCGGGUGAUUGAGGAGUUGUUUAUUUGUCAUGGUGCCUUGAUAGGAUUUUGGCGUGGGACUAAAGAAGAAAAAACAUCACAACAAAAGCGUAAUUUUGAGAAGCAACUCUUGGAAGUUGAACAUUUACGGUCACAGCUACUCUACCAAAGAACAUGAAGACAACGGGAUAUGAAAUAAUUAACGAAGGUAAGGAAAACAUUUUACUUUUGAACUUUGCCUGCUAUUUUUUUUGCUUACAAGAAUUGUACCUUGCAUUAGGCAAUCAAUAAGCCAAAUUAUCAUGUGGGCUUUGGCUCCUGACUUGAAUGGGUUGGGCUUGGGUCUAAUAUAGACCCAUUGACAG